rnacentral:rRNA from 1 species
UACGUAGGGCGCAAGCGUUAUCCGGAAUUAUUGGGCGUAAAGAGCUCGUAGGCGGUUUGUCGCGUCUGCCGUGAAAGUCCGGGGCUCAACUCGGGAUCUGCGGUGGGUACGGGCAGACUAGAGUGAUGUAGGGGAGAGUGGAAUUCCUGGUGUAGCGGUGAAAUGCGCAGAUAUCAGGAGGAACACCGGUGGCGAAGGCGGGUCUCUGGGCCGAUACUGACGCUGAGGAGCGAAAGCGUGGGGAGCGAACAGG